rnacentral:lncRNA from 1 species
GGAGGACGUAACGAACCAAUCGGGCCCCCCUGACCUCCCGAAGCCGUCGGCAAUGGCGGAGGACGCCGACGAUGCGAUGGAAGGUUCGGUCCACCUUCAGCUGGGUGAACUCCUUCAGGUCGGCCUCCACCACGAAGGUGAGCCCUUGAGUCUCUUUGGUUUCCUCUUCCCGGAAGCGGUGGCAAAGGGCGCGGGAAGAGGCGGGGAGGGAUUUGGGGGGGUGGCGGAGGAGGCGGUAUUUGGAGGCGGCGGCGGCGUGGAGGGCGCGGAGGGCGGCGUUGGUUUGGGCCAGGGUCAGGCGGCCCCUCAUGUAGC